ACGAACGCUGGCGGCGUGCUUAACACAUGCAAGUCGAACGGUAAGGCCCCUUCGGGGUACACGAGUGGCGAACGGGUGAGUAACACGUGGGUAAUCUGCCCUGCACUUCGGGAUAAGCCUGGGAAACUGGGUCUAAUACCGGAUAUGAACUCCUGCCGCAUGGUGGGGGUUGGAAAGUUUUUCGGUGCAGGAUGAGCCCGCGGCCUAUCAGCUUGUUGGUGGGGUAAUGGCCUACCAAGGCGACGACGGGUAGCCGGCCUGAGAGGGUGAUCGGCCACACUGGGACUGAGACACGGCCCAGACUCCUACGGGAGGCAGCAGUGGGGAAUAUUGCACAAUGGGCGAAAGCCUGAUGCAGCGACGCCGCGUGGGGGAUGACGGUCUUCGGAUUGUAAACCCCUUUCAGUAGGGACGAAGCGCAAGUGACGGUACCUGCAGAAGAAGCACCGGCUAACUACGUGCCAGCAGCCGCGGUAAUACGUAGGGUGCGAGCGUUGUCCGGAAUUACUGGGCGUAAAGAGCUCGUAGGCGGUUUGUCACGUCGUCUGUGAAAUCCCUCGGCUUAACCGGGGGCGUGCAGGCGAUACGGGCAGACUUGAGUACUACAGGGGAGACUGGAAUUCCUGGUGUAGCGGUGAAAUGCGCAGAUAUCAGGAGGAACACCGGUGGCGAAGGCGGGUCUCUGGGUAGUAACUGACGCUGAGGAGCGAAAGCAUGGGUAGCGAACAGGAUUAGAUACCCUGGUAGUCCAUGCCGUAAACGGUGGGCGCUAGGUGUGGGGUCCUUCCACGGACUCCGUGCCGUAGCUAACGCAUUAAGCGCCCNGCCUGGGGAGUACGGCCGCAAGGCUAAAACUCAAAGGAAUUGACGGGGGCCNGCACAAGCGGCGGAGCAUGUGGAUUAAUUCGAUGCAACGCGAAGAACCUUACCUAGGCUUGACAUAUACAGGACGACGGCAGAGAUGUCGUUUCCCUUGUGGCUUGUAUACAGGUGGUGCAUGGUUGUCGUCAGCUCGUGUCGUGAGAUGUUGGGUUAAGUCCCGCAACGAGCGCAACCCCUGUCUCAUGUUGCCAGCACGUAAUGGUGGGGACUCGUGAGAGACUGCCGGGGUCAACUCGGAGGAAGGUGGGGAUGACGUCAAAUCAUCAUGCCCCUUAUGUCUAGGGCUUCACACAUGCUACAAUGGCUAGUACAGAGGGCUGCGAUACCGCGAGGUGGAGCGAAUCCCUUAAAGCUGGUCUCAGUUCGGAUUGGGGUCUGCAACUCGACCCCAUGAAGUCGGAGUCGCUAGUAAUCGCAGAUCAGCAACGCUGCGG
rnacentral:rRNA from 1 species